AUGACUUGCUGGGCUAAAAGGUCUGUUGAUUGUGUGCAUGGCUUCCUCAUAUAUUAUGCUUGGACGGUGUCAUGUGGCCAAGGAACUAGAUGCACACUGCGACUCUACCCACAGCGUUAUGCUCAGCCAGGGCAACUUAAAGAGGGAAUCAUGGUUGCUGGCUGCUUCUGCUUUUCCCUUAUACUUGCUGGUACCGUUGCUGAGCUAUUCUUAAUAUUGCUCUUCCGUAAACACAACCUUGAGUACAUGCUGCACAAUUGCCACUUUAUGCCAUUGAUUGGUGAGAUUCCAAUGGCAAUGCCUGUUGUCCUCUACCUGGCAUCAGCAUUGGGAUCUCUAAGGCUUUGUUUUCUGAGAAUUGCUAGCCGCGGAACAGUUGCCCUUGAAGAUCUGGCCAGUACGGAUGUGAUGCUCUUCAACUUGACUGGUACUAUAACGUGUAAUAAGCCAUGUUUUUUCCGGGACAAGAUUGAGCUGUUUGCUAACAGUGUUGACAAAGAUCAAGCUAUUAUAUUAGCUGCACGAGCAUCAAGAUCUCAACAUGAAUUCUGUAUAGAGUCAAUUGAUGCAGCUAUUCUGAGCCUCUUGGAUGAUCCAGAACAGGCAAGAGCUGGUAUUGAGGUCUUAGAGCACCAUGCCCGCUUCUUUUUUGCACUGAAGUUGAUGUUCCUAACUACAUACAUCGAUAGCAAUGGAUCCAAGUGCUGCGUAUUCAAAGGUGAUCCUGCGAAGGUGGCUCAUCAAUGUGGCUGCAACAAAGCAGUCAAAGAGAAAAUAAGCAUGGUAAUGGAUAGUUUUGCUCUUGAUUAUCAAGCCAUAGCUGUAGGACACCAGGUAGACUCAUGCUGGGAGUUCAUUGGUCUUCUACCUUUCAGAGAUGACCUUAGAAGUGAUAGCGUAGAUGCUAUUGAUAGUCUUAUCAAUUUCGGUUUGGAUAUUAGAAUCCUCACAGAAAGCCCAUUGUGUUGUACAAAGCAAGUAUGUGGAAAGCUUGGAAAACUAGGCAUCAAUGUGUUACCUGCCCACUCGGUGUUGGAGUUACCUCAUAAUAACAGAGAAGCUCACUUAAACAUCAAUGGGAUUUCCGAUCUCUUGCCAGAGGAUAACAGUGAUAUAGUGAGAAGGCUAAGAGAUUUCGGAUGUCUUUGUGCAAUGGUUGGGUAUGAAUUUCUUGAUCAUGAUGCCAUUGGUGAAAGCUAUAUUGGAAUUUCAGUAGCUGAGGCCACUGAUUACACCAAAAGUGAAUCUGAUCUUGUUUUGCAGCCUUCCCUGUUACCUAUUUCAUCAGCUGUGCAAAUCAGUAGGGAGAUCUGUCAGGUUAUGAGGGGUUAUACGAUCUACACUGUGUCAUCAACUGUCCAUCUUGUUGGUGUCCAUGUCAUUUUACUCUUGUGGAGCUUUAACUUGUCAAGUUUCCUGGCUUUGGUGAUUGCCACUUUUAGCUAUUGUGAGACCUUUGCAAUAUUAUUUGAAAGGGUGGAACCGAGUAAUUCACCACAUAGAUGGAGAGUUAAGAAAAUCAUUGCAAACGGUGUUGCUUCUGGUAGCUACAUCAUUCUGAGAACAGCCAUUUUUUUCAGAGCGGCAACACUUACAGGCUUCUUUUCAUAUAAAUUUGAAGGUAGAUCGCUGAUGGGCUCCAAUGAAGAAAUUAAAGCUGCUUUGUUCCUUCAGAUGAGCAUAGUGAAUCAGACUGUUGUACUGUUUGUUCAUUUUGACGAUUGCUACCUUAUCAGAUGUCCUGGACCUGUUGCAGCAUGUACUUCUAUUUUUACUCAGAUGGUGGCAACCCAUAAAGCCGUAUAUGGUGAUUUUGAUUUGGCACUACCAAAGGGUGUUGGUUGCCUCAGAGCAGGAUUGAUAUGGCUGUAUAACUUUGUGGUGCUCAUGACCCCUGUUAUAAUUUGUCACUCAUGGAGCCGUGCAAACAUGACUACUGAGAUGUUGUUGACAGUAUGCAUACAUUCAGCCAUCAUGCGUAUGGCUUUGUUCUGGUCACUGUAUGUAAUACUUGAUGUCAGGCUGCAGCAGCCACUCUCUGCUUAG
rnacentral:rRNA from 1 species